AUCCUGGCUCAGGAUGAACGCUGGCGGCGUGCCUAAUACAUGCAAGUCGAGCGAACAGACGAGGAGCUUGCUCCUUUGACGUUAGCGGCGGACGGGUGAGUAACACGUAGGUAACCUACCUAUAAGACUGGGAUAACUUCGGGAAACCGGAGCUAAUACCGGAUAAUAUUUCGAACCGCAUGGUUCGAUAGUGAAAGAUGGCUUUGCUAUCACUUAUAGAUGGACCUGCGCCGUAUUAGCUAGUUGGUAAGGUAACGGCUUACCAAGGCAACGAUACGUAGCCGACCUGAGAGGGUGAUCGGCCACACUGGAACUGAGACACGGUCCAGACUCCUACGGGAGGCAGCAGUAGGGAAUCUUCCGCAAUGGGCGAAAGCCUGACGGAGCAACGCCGCGUGAGUGAUGAAGGUCUUCGGAUCGUAAAACUCUGUUAUUAGGGAAGAACAAACGUGUAAGUAACUGUGCACGUCUUGACGGUACCUAAUCAGAAAGCCACGGCUAACUACGUGCCAGCAGCCGCGGUAAUACGUAGGUGGCAAGCGUUAUCCGGAAUUAUUGGGCGUAAA
rnacentral:rRNA from 1 species